rnacentral:lncRNA from 1 species
GUAAAAGAGCAAGUAUAAACUUCUUUUCAUAAUGGCUAUUUAGGGUCUGUUAUCAAAAUAUAGUAAUAAGAUUCAUAUGUGUGAUAAAUAUGUUGCUAUCCACUCUCCUAUCAGAGAGUUCAAUCUAGUUAUAAAAACACUGAACUAUUAUUAUAUGAUGUAUGCUCUCACUUGAAGGUAGCUAAAUUGAUGUUUUGCCAUAUUUUAAGAACCCUUUCCCUACUCCCUAGAUACAUGUAACAGCCUAGAAAGAUCACUGCAUAUUGAACUGUAAUGCUAAAUCAGAAAUUAUAUUAUUACUCAUAACUAGCAUCCCGCUGACUUUCACUUAAAUAUCAGGACCCAAAUUAUUUUACAUCUCACUUCAGAAAUGUGGUACAACGUGCUAUUUAAUCUUCUUGGCCUAGUCUUAGAAUUUAUCAUACACUCUCCUUUUUAUGAACCACACAAACCAUUGGUGAUAGUGACGAGAAGCACUGUAUAUAGUUUCACUGGCUUUGGAUUCUUGUAUGGUGUUUGAAAAAAUAAAAAUCAUAUCUUAUAGGUCUUGAUCGUGUAUGCCUUCCAAUCUUGAGAUGUUGAUUUAGCUGUCCUGAACGUCACAUGAUGUGCCUCUCCAUAAUCCUGUACCCAAGCCAUUGCAGAAUUGCUGACGUGACUUUGGUGUGCUGUGCCAGGGCAAAUAUAUUAUUUUGAAUUAUGCCAGCAGUGAGGAAGACACAUGAGUAUAGCUCUCAGAGUGGAAGAAAAGGCACUGAUUCUGUUCUGAGGACCAAUCAUAUGGAUGUGAAAAUUCAUGAACAGGCUGUAUCCACACACAUUACCAAUUGGAAGACGGCCUUGUCUCCAGCUUGAAUAUACUCUCCACCCCCACCUUUGAGAGGUAUCACAAUAUCUUAAAAGGGGUUUCAAAUUAAUUUUUACAUUCAAUACAUUGUGUUAGUUCUACCCACUCUAAAUGUCCCCUCCUUUUCUCCCUACAGAUCUCAGAAUUAGGAAAAGUUUUAACUUAAAACGAAUCACUUACUAUUAUUCCUACCCAAGAAUAUUUUUUAACUUAAAAAAAUAGGGGCGCCUGAGUGGCUCAGUCGGUUAAGUGUCCAACUUCAGCUCAGGUCACGAUCUCGCAGUCCGUGAGUUCGAGCCCCAUGUUCUGGGCUGAUGGCUCAGAGCCUGGAGCCUGCUUCCAAUUCUGUGUCUCCCACUCUCUCUGCCCCUCCCCCGUUCAUGCUCUGUCUCUCUCUGUCCCAAAAAUAAAUAAACGUUAAUCCAAAAUCUAUAAAGAGCU